CAUGCUUAGUGAAUUCGAAAAUGUGUCCAGUGCCUAGCCAGUGUGUCUGCUGGGCAGUCAAGGUCAUGAAAUACGUACAUGCUGGUUUCUAGCUCCGAAGGCUAAUUUUGCAUGAAUUUUAAAGGUGCCUCCACUCAACUGAAUUUCUGCAAAAAACCGCGUGGAUGACCCUAGGAUUCUUCGGUGUCGGUCAAAUAUCUGGUUAGUGAUGCAGUAAAGCAGAAAGUGUUUAAUGAACUGGCAUUUGCAGUUUAGUGGUAAAUUUGUGUUGAAAAUCACAGAAAUGGCCUCGAAAACAGGUGACAUUCAGACCCCUAAAUUGGCUGAUUUUCCAUGAUAAAAAUAUACAGCAAGUGGGUGCACCAUGGCUAUCCAUGUAUUUUCUGGAAGACAUACCCCCAACAAUACUGAAGAUAUGUUUUGUAUGAUUUCAGGUGUAGACGUUGUGUUAGCUGUGAGGACGGACAGUGCCCCCACCCCGGCAGCCAGUAGCCGAUUUGUGAAAAACUGUAGUGUGCCCCCUUAAGGUGUAGACGUUGUGUUAGCUGUGAGGACGGACAGUGCCCCCACCCCGGCAGCCAGUAGCCGAUUUGUGAAAAACUGUAGUGUGCCCCCUUAAGGUGUAGACGUUGUGUUAGCUGUGAGGACGGACAGUGCCCCCACCCCGGCAGCCAGUAGCCGAUUUGUGAAAAACUGUAGUGUGCCCCCUUAAGGUGUAGACGUUGUGUUAGCUGUGAGGACGGACAGUGCCCCCACCCCGGCAGCCAGUAGCCGAUUUGUGAAAAACUGUAGUGUGCCCCCUUAAGGUGUAGACGUUGUGUUAGCUGUGAGGACGGACAGUGCCCCCACCCCGGCAGCCAGUAGCCGAUUUGUGAAAAACUGUAGUGUGCCCCCUUAAGUCAUAGCUUAUGGCCAGUGCAUUUUAUGCAAGUGUCCCUUCUUUUCACACAGUUCAACGG